UUUAAACUUCACUGCUCUGAGUCAGAAGCCAGAAUGGAUGUUCUACUUGUAGUCAUAGCUGCCAUGCCGCUCAUCUUGGGACAAGAAUAUGAGGAAGAACAAAUAUAUGAAGAUAUAUAUGAAGAUACAUAUGGAGAUUAUCAGGUGGUCUAUUAUACAGUCACUCCAUAUUAUGAUGACUUCGCAGUCAACUUUACUCUUGACUAUUCCCAAUUUGAGGUGGAGGAUAGAAUGAACAUUGAGAAAGAAACUACAGCUGAAACAGGAGACAGGCAGGUUAAUCCUGAGAAAGAACUUCCAGACAAUGGCAUACAGAAGACAACAGAACAAGCCAGUACUCUGUCCACCACACCAAAGGAGAGAUUAUACACAAAGAAGAACGGGGGCCAAGAAGGAAAAGAAGAUGGCCCCAAAAACAGAGAAGGAUCUACUACAGAGGAACCCUCACCUAAGGAUGUUGCUGUGCCCACCUGGCAGCAUCACCUCCCACUCCUCCUUUUGCCCUGGGUUCUGCUGAGGUGGAUAUUGCUACUUUAGAAGGUGAGAGGUCAAGAUAAUUAUGCUCAACCACCUGCUUGGGAGAAAACAGGGAGAGAGAAGGCUGCCAUGACUUCUUUGAAAAAAGAGUCUGGGGUGGGUGCAGAAACUGGAAGAAGAAAUAAAGAAUAACUGAACCACAAA